GACGAACGCUGGCGGCGUGCCUAAUACAUGCAAGUCGAGCGGAUUUCACCUUCGGGUGAAGUUAGCGGCGGACGGGUGAGUAACACGUAGGCAACCUGCCUGUAAGACUGGGAUAACUAUCGGAAACGAUAGCUAAGACCGGAUAGCUGGAUGGAACGCAUGUUCCGUUCAUGAAACACGGAGCAAUCUGUGGCUUACAGAUGGGCCUGCGGCGCAUUAGCUAGUUGGUGAGGUAACGGCUCACCAAGGCGACGAUGCGUAGCCGACCUGAGAGGGUGAUCGGCCACACUGGGACUGAGACACGGCCCAGACUCCUACGGGAGGCAGCAGUAGGGAAUCUUCCGCAAUGGACGCAAGUCUGACGGAGCAACGCCGCGUGAGUGAUGAAGGUUUUCGGAUCGUAAAGCUCUGUUGCCAGGGAAGAACGCCUUAGAGAGUAACUGCUCUAAGGGUGACGGUACCUGAGAAGAAAGCCCCGGCUAACUACGUG
rnacentral:rRNA from 1 species